rnacentral:rRNA from 1 species
CUAUACAUGACUCUGCGCAUAUCAAUAAGCGGAGGAAAAGAAACUAACAAGGAUUCCCUUAGUAACGGCGAGUGAAGCGGGAAGAGCUCAAAUUUGAAAUCUUCAAGGUUAUACCUUGACGAAUUGUAGUUUAAAGAAGUGUUUUCUGCUGAAGUUUUGGUAAAAGUUCCUUGGAAUAGGACAUCAUAGAGGGUGAGAAUCCCGUAUUUGACCAUUAUUUUCAGCUUUGUGAUACACUUUCAAAGAGUCGGAUUGUUUGGGAAUGCAGUCCAAAAUGGGUGGUAAAUUUCAUCUAAAGCUAAAUAUUGGCGAGAGACCGAUAGCGAACAAGUACCGUGAGGGAAAGAUGAAAAGAACUUUGAAAAGAGAGUUAAACAGUACGUGAAAUUGUCAAAAGGGAAGCGUUUGACACCAGUGUUGUUUUCUCGAAAAUCAAUUAAAAAUGGCUCGAUUUUGUAUUGCUUGAGACCUUAAAAGCUCACUGUACAUUUUUCGUGUCUUUUUUAAUGCACUUUUCGUUUAACAAGUCAACAUCAGUUUCUUUUGUUGUAAAAGGGUCAUUGGAAGGUGGCUUUCUUUUCGGAGAAAGUGUUUAUAGCCUUUGGCCUCUGCAAUCGGAGAGACUGAGGUCUGCAGCGUAGACUCUUCGGGGUUAGAUACAUUUGUGCUAAGUUAUAGCUUUUUAUAGACAACUUGUUGACUAUAAUUAGUCUUGUAGCUUACUCGCUUAUGCUAUUUUACCUACGCUUAGGAUGUUGAAGAUGUAGCACAUCAU